CUUAAAGCAAAAGCUGUUUUGGUGUUUAAUGUGUCAAUUUAUUACUACUAUUAUUUUAUGAUGUGUCUUGUCCAUUAUGUACUAAUCAGUCCCUGGAAAACAAUUUUACCAAUUACACCACAAAUAAUCUUGCUUAUCCUGUGUGACUACACCCUGUUCCAAAUUAUUAUGCAAAUGCUAUUUUUCUCAUUUACCUAAAUAAUUGAUGUAAAUAACAGUCAGC